CGGAGAAAAGUAAGAGGAAAAUCCAUAUUUUAUCUUGGCGUCCAAACAGAACGUGGCGAAUCAAAUGUGAUGGGAAGUGGUUUCUCCUCCCUCUUCCCUUGCUUCAAACCGGGGACUAACCGGACCCAACACGAACAACCCGACUUGAUCUUCACUGCCUCUGAGCCGUUGGAUGAAACCCUAGGUCACUCUUUCUGCUACGUUCGAUCCUCUAACCGCUUCGUCUCUCCCACUCCCUCCGAUCGAUUUGUCUCUCCUUCUCACUCCCUGCGUUUCUCUCCUUCCCGGGCUGCAACCGUUUCCGAGACCCGACCCGGAUUGCCUGAGACUGGGUUUAAGUCCAUUUCCGGCGCUUCUGUUAGUGCCAACGCUUCGACGCCUAGAACUGUACUCCAACUUGAGAAUAUUUACGAUGAUGCCUUUGACAGUAGUGGGUUUGCUGCUGGUGUUACUGGUGGUGGAGUGAGGGACAGUAUUGUGAACGUGGAGGGGUUCGAAAGCACGGCGUCGUUCAGGGCUUUGCGGUUGCAACCGGUGCCGCCUGGCGGAGAGGGGUUCUUCAUGUCGGGUCCCAUUGACGAGGGUGCUCUAUCCGGUCCACUCGACACGAACUCGGGGACCGACAGUAGCGGGCGGGUACACUUCUCGGCGCCGCUUGGUGGCACGUAUAUGAAAAAGAAGCGAAGGAAUGGCAUUUCUGGGA
rnacentral:misc_RNA from 1 species